rnacentral:rRNA from 1 species
ACUCCUACGGGAGGCAGCAGUGAGGAAUAUUGGUCAAUGGACGGAAGUCUGAACCAGCCAAGUAGCGUGCAGGAUGACGGCCCUAUGGGUUGUAAACUGCUUUUAUGUGGGAAUAAAGUCAGGGACGUGUCCCUGUUUGCAUGUACCACAGGAAUAAGGACCGGCUAAUUCCGUGCCAGCAGCCGCGGUAAUACA